AGAGUCGGCUGAGCAGUCACUGUUCUAUUGUAAGGAUAGAAGAGAGGAAAGUCCGGGCUCCACUGGGCAGGGUGCCAGGUAAUGCCUGGGAGGCGUGAGCCUACGGCAAGUGCCACAGAAAAUAUACCGCCAAUCUAUGAUUGGUAAGGGUGAAAAGGUGCGGUAAGAGCGCACCGCGCAACUGGUAACAGGUGUGGCAGGGUAAACCCCACCCGGAGCAAGAUCAAAUAGGGGGACAGACGCGUGGCCCGCGCGGUUCCCGGGUAGAUUGCUUGAGCUGUAGGGUGACCUACAGCCUAGAUGAAUGACUGUUCUCGACAGAACCCGGCUUAUAGGCCGACUCUUUUU
rnacentral:RNase_P_RNA from 1 species